rnacentral:rRNA from 1 species
AGAGUUUGAUCCUGGCUCAGGACGAACGCUGGCGGCGUGCUUAACACAUGCAAGUCGAACGGAAAGGCCCUUCGGGGUACUCGAGUGGCGAACGGGUGAGUAACACGUGGGUGAUCUGCCCUGCACCUUGGGAUAAGCCUGGGAAACUGGGUCUAAUACCGAAUAUGACCAUGCGCCUCCUGGUGUGUGGUGGAAAGCUUUUGCGGUGUGGGAUGGGCCCGCGGCCUAUCAGCUUGUUGGUGGGGUAAUGGCCUACCAAGGCGACGACGGGUAGCCGGCCUGAGAGGGUGACCGGCCACACUGGGACUGAGAUACGGCCCAGACUCCUACGGGAGGCAGCAGUGGGGAAUAUUGCACAAUGGGCGCAAGCCUGAUGCAGCGACGCCGCGUGAGGGAUGACGGCCUUCGGGUUGUAAACCUCUUUCAGCACAGACGAAGCGCAAGUGACGGUAUGUGCAGAAGAAGGACCGGCCAACUACGUGCCAGCAGCCGCGGUAAUACGUAGGGUCCGAGCGUUGUCCGGAAUUACUGGGCGUAAAGAGCUCGUAGGUGGUUUGUCGCGUUGUUCGUGAAAACUCACAGCUUAACUGUGGGCGUGCGGGCGAUACGGGCAGACUUGAGUACUGCAGGGGAGACUGGAAUUCCUGGUGUAGCGGUGGAAUGCGCAGAUAUCAGGAGGAACACCGGUGGCGAAGGCGGGUCUCUGGGCAGUAACUGACGCUGAGGAGCGAAAGCGUGGGGAGCGAACAGGAUUAGAUACCCUGGUAGUCC